UGGCUUAGAAGCAGCCAUCCUUUAAAGAAAGCGUAAUAGCUCACUGGUCUAGUGAUUUUGCGCGGAAAAUAUAACGGGGCUAAAGUAAGUACCGAAGCUGUAGACUUGCACACAACUUAGAUUAUUUAAGUUUAGAAUAAGUAGUUUAAGUUGUGUGCAAGUGGUAGGAGAGCGUUCUAUUUGCGUCGAAGGUAUACCGGUAAGGAGUGCUGGAGCGAAUAGAAGUGAGCAUGCAGGCAUGAGUAGCGAUAAUUAAUGUGAGAAUCAUUAACGCCGUAAACCCAAGGUUUCCUACGCGAUGCUCGUCAUCGUAGGGUUAGUCGGGUCCUAAGUCGAGUCCGAAAGGGGUAGACGAUGGCAAAUUGGUUAAUAUUCCAAUACCAACAUUAGUGUGCGAUGGAAGGACGCUUAGGGCUAAGGGGGCUAGCGGAUGGAAGUGCUAGUCUAAGGUCGUAGGAGGUUAUACAGGCAAAUCCGUAUAACAAUACUCCGAGAACUGAAAGGCUUUUUGAAGUCUUCGGAUGGAUAGAAGAACCCCUGAUGCCGUCGAGCCAAGAAAAGUUUCUAAGUUUAGCUAAUGUUGCCCGUACCGUAAACCGACACAGGUGGGUGGGAUGAGUAUUCUAAGGCGCGUGGAAGAACUCUCUUUAAGGAACUCUGCAAAAUAGCACCGUAUCUUCGGUAUAAGGUGUGGUUAGCUUCGUACUAGGAUUUACUCCGAAAGCGAAGAAACUUACAACAAAGAGUCCCUCCCGACUGUUUACCAAAAACACAGCACUCUGCUAACUCGUAAGAGGAUGUAUAGGGUGUGACGCCUGCCCGGUGCUCGAAGGUUAAUUGAUGGGGUUAGCAUUAGCGAAGCUCUUGAUCGAAGCCCGAGUAAACGGCGGCCGUAACUAUAACGGUCCUAAGGUAGCGAAAUUCCUUGUCGGUUAAAUACCGACCUGCAUGAAUGGCGUAACGAGAUGGGAGCUGUCUCAAAGAGGGAUCCAGUGAAAUUGUAGUGGAGGUGAAAAUUCCUCCUACCCGCGGCAAGACGGAAAGACCCCGUGGACCUUUACUACAGCUUGACACUGCUACUUGGAUAAGAAUGUGCAGGAUAGGUGGGAGGCUUUGAGUAUAUGACGCCAGUUGUAUAUGAGCCAUUGUUGAGAUACCACUCUUUCUUAUUUGGGUAGCUAACCAGCUUGAGUUAUCCUCAAGUGGGACAAUGUCUGGUGGGUAGUUUGACUGGGGCGGUCGCCUCCCAAAUAAUAACGGAGGCUUACAAAGGUUGGCUCAGAACGGUUGGAAAUCGUUCGUAGAGUAUAAAGGUAUAAGCCAGCUUAACUGCAAGACAUACAAGUCAAGCAGAGACGAAAGUCGGUCUUAGUGAUCCGGUGGUUCUGUGUGGAAGGGCCAUCGCUCAAAGGAUAAAAGGUACCCCGGGGAUAACAGGCUGAUCUCCCCCAAGAGCUCACAUCGACGGGGAGGUUUGGCACCUCGAUGUCGGCUCAUCGCAUCCUGGGGCUGGAGCAGGUCCCAAGGGUAUGGCUGUUCGCCAUUUAAAGCGGUACGCGAGCUGGGUUCAGAACGUCGUGAGACAGUUCGGUCCCUAUCUGCCGUGGGCGUAAGAAGAUUGAAGAGAUUUGACCCUAGUACGAGAGGACCGGGUUGAACAAACCACUGGUGUAGCUGUUGUUCUGCCAAGAGCAUCGCAGCGUAGCUAAGUUUGGAAAGGAUAAACGCUGAAAGCAUCUAAGCGUGAAGCCAACUCUAAGAUGAAUCUUCUCUAAGCUCUCUAGAAGACUACUAGUUUGAUAGGCUGGGUGUGUAAUGGAUGAAAGUCCUUUAGCUGACCAGUACUAAUAGAGCGUUUGGCUUAUCUUUAAUAAAGCAU
rnacentral:rRNA from 1 species